rnacentral:rRNA from 1 species
GAUGAACGCUGGCGGCGUGCCUAAUACAUGCAAGUCGAGCGAACAGAUAAGGAGCUUGCUCCUUUGACGUUAGCGGCGGACGGGUGAGUAACACGUGGGUAACCUACCUAUAAGACUGGGAUAACUUCGGGAAACCGGAGCUAAUACCGGAUGACAUUUGGAACCGCAUGGUUCUAAAGUGAAAGAUGGUUUUGCUAUCACUUAUAGAUGGACCCGCGCCGUAUUAGCUAGUUGGUAAGGUAACGGCUUACCAAGGCGACGAUACGUAGCCGACCUGAGAGGGUGAUCGGCCACACUGGAACUGAGACACGGUCCAGACUCCUACGGGAGGCAGCAGUAGGGAAUCUUCCGCAAUGGGCGAAAGCCUGACGGAGCAACGCCGCGUGAGUGAUGAAGGGUUUCGGCUCGUAAAACUCUGUUAUUAGGGAAGAACAAAUGUGUAAGUAACUGUGCACGUCUUGACGGUACCUAAUCAGAAAGCCACGGCUAACUACGUG